GACGAACGCUGGCGGCGUGCUUAACACAUGCAAGUCGAACGGAAAGGCCCUGCUUGCAGGGUACUCGAGUGGCGAACGGGUGAGUAACACGUGGGUGAUCUGCCCUGCACUUCGGGAUAAGCCUGGGAAACUGGGUCUAAUACCGGAUAGGAGCCAUUUUUAGUGUGAUGGUUGGAAAGUUUUUUCGGUGUAGGAUGAGCUCGCGGCCUAUCAGCUUGUUGGUGGGGUAAUGGCCUACCAAGGCGGCGACGGGUAGCCGGCCUGAGAGGGUGGACGGCCACAUUGGGACUGAGAUACGGCCCAGACUCCUACGGGAGGCAGCAGGGGGGAAGAUUGCACAAUGGGCGCAAGCCUGAUGCAGCGACGCCGCGUGGGGGAUGACGGCCUUCGGGUUGUAAACUCCUUUCGCUAGGGACGAAGCUUUUUGUGACGGUACCUAGAGAAGAAGCACCGGCUAACUACGUG
rnacentral:rRNA from 1 species